rnacentral:snRNA from 1 species
GAGUGUAAGAGUGAUCUGGCCACGGCAUUUGUCACCCCGUUGAUUGCCAGAGUUGAUUCAGCUGAUCUGGCUGUCUGGUCAGGUGACCCUCUCCGCUCUCAUUGCUCCAUUUCCAUCCUUCCUGAAGCUGUGUGCUUGGUUGAAGAGGAUGACGUUCCCCAACAGAGGAGGACCGUUCUUUGGUCAAGGGUAUACAAAUAGCUGUAUCCCCUGCUAGAACCUCCAAACAAGUUCUCAAAAAGAGUGACUGAAGCUAAACUCUGGUGGCUCAUGCCUAUAAUCUUAGCUACUUAGCAAACCGAGAUUGG